rnacentral:rRNA from 1 species
CCUCGGGUUGCUCCAGUGAGGAAUAUUGCGCAAUGGGGGAAACCCUGACGCAGCGACGCCGCGUGGAUGAUGAAGGCCUUCGGGUCGUAAAAUCCUGUCAGAAGGAAAGAAGUGUAUGGUAGCUAAUAUCUGCCAUACUUGACGGUACCUUCAAAGGAAGCACCGGCUAACUCCGUGCCAGCAGCCGCGGUAAUACGGAGGGUGCAAGCGUUGUUCGGAAUUACUGGGCGUAAAGCGCGCGUAGGCGGUUUUAUAAGUCAGAUGUGAAAGUCCACGGCUCAACCAUGGAAGUGCAUUUGAAACUGUAAGUCUUGAGUAUUGGAGGGGGUAGUGGAAUUCCCGGUGUAGAGGUGAAAUUCGUAGAUAUCGGGAGGAAUACCGGUGGCGAAGGCGACUAUCUGGCCAAAUACUGACGCUGAGGUGCGAAAGCGUGGGGAGCAAACAGGAUUAGAUACCCCCGUAGUC